CGAUCUGUCGCCGGGACUCAAGAUUCUGAACGUCAGUUCCACUUGCAUAAGGACUUUGAGUGGGACCUCGAGACUGAGUAUUAUUCAAGAAGACUUCCCUUGGGUGAACUGCAGUUUCCCUGAUCGAGAUAAGGUGAAGGAAGAAGGAACGAAGCCCGAGGCAAAAGUCUUCAUGCAAGCCAUUGGCUACUU